rnacentral:rRNA from 1 species
UGGGGAAUUUUGGACAAUGGGGGAAACCCUGAUCCAGCCAUCCCGCGUGUGCGAUGAAGGCCUUCGGGUUGUAAAGCACUUUUGGCAGGAAAGAAACGUCAUGGGUUAAUACCCCGUGAAACUGACGGUACCUGCAGAAUAAGCACCGGCUAACUACGUGCCAGCAGCCGCGGUAAUACGUAGGGUGCAAGCGUUAAUCGGAAUUACUGGGCGUAAAGCGUGCGCAGGCGGUUCGGAAAGAAAGAUGUGAAAUCCCAGAGCUCAACUUUGGAACUGCAUUUUUAACUACCGAGCUAGAGUGUGUCAGAGGGAGGUGGAAUUCCGCGUGUAGCAGUGAAAUGCGUAGAUAUGCGGAGGAACGCCGAUGGCGAAGGCAGCCUCCUGGGAUAACACUGACGCUCAUGAACGAAAGCGUGGGGAGCAAACAGG